rnacentral:rRNA from 1 species
CCUACGGGGGGCAGCAGUGGGGAAUAUUGCACAAUGGGGGAAACCCUGAUGCAGCGACGCCGCGUGAAGGAAGAAGUAUUUCGGUAUGUAAACUUCUAUCAGCAGGGAAGAAAACGACGGUACCUGACUACGAAGCCCCGGCUAACUACGUGCCAGCAGCCGCGGUAAUACGUCGGGGGCAAGCGUUAUCCGGAUUUACUGGGUGUAAAGGGAGCGUAGGCGGCGAUGCAAGUCAGAAGUGAAAGCCGGGGGCUCAACUCCGGGACUGCUUUUGAAACUGGGUUGCUAGAGUGCAGGAGAGGUAAGUGGAAUGCCUAGUGUAGCGGUGAAAUGCGUAGAUAUUAGGAGGAACACCAGUGGCGAAGGCGGCUUACUGGACUGUAAAUGACGCUGAGGCUCGAAAGCGUGGGGAGCAAACAGGAUUAGAUACCCUUGUAGUC